rnacentral:tRNA from 1 species
UUAAAAUUAGUUAAGUUUAUAACCUAGGUUUGUCAGACCUAAAUCAUCAAUCAUUUGAUAUUUUAAA